rnacentral:rRNA from 1 species
CCUACGGGUGGCUGCAGUGGGGAAUUUUGGACAAUGGGGGCAACCCUGAUCCAGCCAUGCCGCGUGCGGGAAGAAGGCCUUCGGGUUGUAAACCGCUUUUAGCCGGGAAGAAAAGGCAGGGGCUAACACUCUCUGUUCUUGACGGUACCGGCGGAAUAAGCACCGGCUAACUACGUGCCAGCAGCCGCGGUAAUACGUAGGGUGCGAGCGUUAAUCGGAAUUUGCGGGGGUAAAUCGUGCGCAGUGGGGUGAAAGCCCCGGGCUCAACCUGGGAAUGGCAUUGGAUACUGGCGGGCUUGAGUGUGGCAGAGGGGGGUGGAAUUCCGCGUGUAGCAGUGAAAUGCGUAGAGAUGCGGAGGAACACCGAUGGCGAAGGCAGCCCCCUGGGCUGACACUGACGCUCAGGCACGAAAGCGUGGGGAGCAAACAGGAUUAGAUACCCCAGUAGUC